rnacentral:rRNA from 1 species
UACGGAGGGUGCAAGCGUUAAUCGGAAUUACUGGGCGUAAAGCGUGUGUAGGCGGUUUGUUAAGUCCGUUGUGAAAGCCUCGAGCUCAACUUGGGAAUUGCAGUGGAUACUGGCAGGCUGGAGUACGGUAGAGGAAGGUGGAAUUCCCGGUGUAGCAGUGAAAUGCGUAGAGAUCGGGAGGAACACCAGUGGCGAAGGCGGCCUUCUGGACCAGUACUGACGCUCAUGCACGAAAGCGUGGGUAGCAAACAGG